UACAGAGGGGGCAAGCGUUGUUCGGAAUUACUGGGCGUAAAGGGCUCGUAGGCGGCCAACUAAGUCAUACGUGAAAUCCCUCAGCUUAACUGGGGAACUGCGUGUGAUACUGGAUGGCUUGGAUUUGGGAGAGGGAUGCGGAAUUCCAGGUGUAGCGGUGAAAUGCGUAGAUAUCAGGAGGAACACCUGCGGUGUAGACGGCUUACUGGACCACUACUGACGCUGAGGCACGAAAGCGUGGGGAGCAAACAGG
rnacentral:rRNA from 1 species